GAUGAACGCUAGCGGCAGGCCUAACACAUGCAAGUCGAGGGGUAGAAGUUGCUUGCAACUUUGAGACCGGCGCACGGGUGCGUAACGCGUAUGCAAUCUACCUUGUACAGAGGGAUAGCCCAGAGAAAUUUGGAUUAAUACCUCAUAGUAUUAUUGAGUGGCAUCACUUGAUUAUUACAGUUCUAACGGUACAAGAUGAGCAUGCGUCCUAUUAGCGAGAUGGUAAGUUAACGGCUUACAAUGGCUACGAUAGGUAGGGGUGAUGAGAGGGAGAUCCCCAACACUGGUACUGAGACACGGACCAGACUCCUACGGGAGGCAGCAGUGAGGAAUAUUGGUCAAUGGGCGCAAGCCUGAACCAGCCAUGCCGCGUGCAGGAAGACGGUCCUAUGGAUUGUAAACUGCUUUUGUACGGGAAGAAACACUCCGACGUGUCGGAGCUUGACGGUACCGUAAGAAUAAGGAUCGGCUAACUCCGUGCCAGCCGCCGCAGUAAAAC
rnacentral:rRNA from 1 species